GCCUUCAAAGACAAAGCCUUAAGUCUUACGCCGAGCUUUUCCAACUUUGCAGAAAGCGCACAGUGUAUACUUUAAACAUGUGAAAAGACUCACUGGGUCUCUUCCCUACAUACCACUUAAAGAAACGUUUUUCAAUUCAAAAAGCUUACAUUUUCAAACACUGAGAAAUUUUAUAUCUGCUCAAGUCAAUGUUAUGCCCAUUAUAAAGACUCAAGUUGUACAGGGCUUUAAGGAACUCUGACAUAAAGGCCUUUAGCCAUGAUCCAGAGUGAGAGAGGACUAUGAUGUCGAUUUGUCUGUCACUCUUCCUUUAUGGUCAUCAUGUGUCUCUCUGAAAACCAAAUAAGGCAUUCCGAGGGCUGUGGCAGAGAU